GAAGUAGAGAAGCUCCCAUCAGAUCACCUUCAACACCAACCAUGUUCUCUGUGGCUCUGCUAGUGCUGCUGGCUGCUGGAUCCUGUGUGAAGUGUGAGCAGUUGACACAGCUGGCCUCUGUGACUGUGCAGCCAGGUCAACGUCUGACCAUCAGCUGUCAGGUCUCUUAUGCUCUGAGCAGCUACACAGCUUGGAUCAGACAGCCUGCAGGGAAAGGACUGGAGUGGAUUGGAAGCAACUGUGUUGGGUGCACUGCAAUAUACAAAGAUUCACUGAAGAACAAGUUCAGUAUCAGCUUCGACUCUUCCAGCAACACAGUGACUCUAAACCAGGGGUCGGGAACCUUUUUGGCUGGGAGAGCAAUAAAAGCCAAAUAUUUUUUUAAUGUAUUUCUUUGAGAGCCAUAUAUUUAAUACAU